CCUACGGGAGGCAGCAGUGAGGAAUAUUGGUCAAUGGGCGCGAGCCUGAACCAGCCAAGUAGCGUGAAGGAUGACUGCCCUACGGGUUGUAAACUUCUUUUAUACAGGAAUAAAGUGCGGCACGUGUGCUUUUUUGUAUGUACUUUAUGAAUAAGGAUCGGCUAAAUCCGUGCCAGCAGCCGCGGUAAUACGGAGGGUGCGAGCGUUAAUCGGAAUUACUGGGUGUAAAGCGCUCGUAGGCGGUAUGUCAAGUCAAGGGUGAAAUCCCCGCGCUCAACGUGGGAACUGCCUUUGAAACUGGCAAACUGUAGUGUGGGAGAGGAUAGGGGAAUUCCAGGUGUAGGAGUGAAAUCCGUAGAUAUCUGGAGGAACAUCGGUGGCGAAGGCGACUAUCUGGCAGAUAACUGACGCUGAGGCGCGAAAGCGUGGGUAGCGAACAGGAUUAGAUACCCUGGUAGUC
rnacentral:rRNA from 1 species